AGAGGUUUCCAUAAGACCAGUGCUGCGGUGUGGAACAAAACUGAGCCACACACAGAAUCCAGGCUCACUCACACAACUGCACAGGUACACAGACUACACAGGGCAAAGGAGUGAGAAGCAGAAUGGACUCAGAGGACUUAUUUCUCCACCAAUGAAAAAGGCCCAGCCCAGAUACACAUGGCAACAAGCACUACUGUUGGUUCCGGUAGGUAUAACGUGCACCGGCCGCGUAAGUGAGGACGAGCACCACUACGGAAUAUUGGGAGCUGCCUGUGAUUUAAUGGGCAAGCUAACGUGGAAAAACUCAGUCCGCUGAAUAACAAUGCGUCAAAUGGAGGAAGAGCCGGCUAUGAGCUGAAUACAAAUACAGUAAAUCGACGGAGGUCCUGAGAGACGAACACACAAGUCUUUGAAGCCGACAUACAGUCUUCGGAUGUGGAGCAGGCCACAGGAGAUGAAAACGCAGGUGACCUGCUUUGUGGCCAGCAGAGCCGGCACUCCCCGAAGCAGAUGGUUCACCGGUGGCUGCAGCCCACCUAGUGGGUCCGCUCUCUUGGCGGAACCGCUGAGAAAAACAGCCUCCCGAUGGAGGGGAGGAAAAAGAAACACAGCCGUCGUCUAUCAGAUGAUUCAUCACCCUCCGGCUCCCGGUACCGGCAGAAGGCCAAACCUCCAGUUGAGAAACCAUCUUGCUCAAACAACUUGGAACUUAAACUCUGUUUACAAACACUGCUGCCCUUCAGAACAGGAAAGGUGAUUUCAAUUUACCAGACUGCCCAGUUGAUCCACACAAACGCUAACGACCGCUAAUCUAAAAUAGCUUCUGUGCUAUCAACAAAAGCAGUAAAAUCAACUGUGGCAGCUACAGACCGAAACAGGGAAAUACUUCUAGAUCUUGGAAUCUGUUUCAUGUAAUGCAUCUGAAUUUCUUCAUCCGCCAGGCCUCUGUUUCCGAGCUUUCAAAGUCUUGUAGGUGGGUGCUUUGGGAAGCAUGUCAUUACAAUGGCUAGGAAUCCUUACAGACACUUCUCUUCAUAAUUCUUCCACAGCUGAACCUUAAUUAAAGGUGUAUAUCUUUUAGUCAGUCUCUCUUCUACGCUACCUCAUGAGGUGCAGUUCAGAUCUGACCGUAAAUCUUGAGACUUUAUCUGAUACUUGGAUUUGUACGUUUAAAUAUACUCAUGACGUUUCGGAAACAUGCUAUAUUCAAGAUCAAGUAAGACGCCGGUCCUAGGCUUAUGACCGUAACUAUAAUGUUUGGCUUCUGCACAUGAAAAACUGCCAUUUGCUCACCAUUAGUUCUGCUUCCCCUAAGUUGCCUCCAUGUAUUUCUAAGACCAAUUAUAUAGCUUAUGAACUUGUACUUUCCCAGUACCUGCCACCAUUCAUGCACCACAAACCCUCAAUCUGAGCUGUUAGUUAAGUUCUCCCCAAACGAGCUUGAUGGGCCGAAUGGCCUCCUCUUGUUUGUAAAUUUCUUAUGUUCUUAUGUAAUCAGGAUGUACUCACACUUGGCCCGGUUGCCCUGUACUGUGCCCGAGCACCAUUGCCCCCCCCCCCCACUCCCCUGCUGGUCUGCACUGACAUUGCCCCUAACGUCCUGGGCCCGAGCACGCUUUUGUCAUCACCGUGCAACUCAUUUAUGUCGAAUGAAACAUGGGAGGAAAGCGCUGUCGCAGAGCACAAUGGCGCCCAUGAUUAAUGUCCUUAUUUUGCGGCUUAUGUGGAGCCGUUCUGGGCGUGAUGAAAACAUGGCCCUCAUAGAUUUAUCGGAAAUGCAACGCAGCAAUUUCCAUUUGAUCAUGCUGCACGUAGAAGAAGAUUCCGACUCCUUUGCCUUUUCCUUUGGAAUCUCUUUGAUUUACGGCAGAGGCGCAGUGUUUGCCGGAAAUUCGGCCUGACGAGAGUAUCCAGGAACAACUGGAUGAAACGCACAAAAACUGAGAUAUUUGGUGAAAUACGGAACUGUCUUCUUAUAGGUGCAGCACGAUUAAAUGUAGGUGCCCUUAGGCAGACCUCACCGUCCAAUUUCACUUCAUCAGUGACUUGAUAAGUCAACACCCCCUCAGUAGAUGAUGCCCUAGGCGGCUGGCUAUGUCACCUGUAGGAUUGACCAGCCCUGACUCUACCCAUAAUGCCCAUAGCUUAACCUCUCUGCCAGUACCCCCCCCCCCGCAUCCCCCAAAUCUGCAUGGACCUCAUAUUUUCUAACCUGCUCCUCUACCCUCUGCAUCUCACCCCAUUGUCACGAAGCAACAGUCUGCAGGCUGUUUGAAAAACAGCACUGCUGCAAAGCAGCUGGUCCUGCCUCAAGGGAUCUCCCCUGCCUCAAGAGAUCUCCACUGCCUCAAGGGAUCUCUACUGCCUCAAGGGAUCUCCCCUGCCUCAAGAGAUCUCCACUGCCUCAAGGGAUCUCCCCUGCCUCAAGCGAUCUCCCCUGCCUCAAGCGAUCUCCACUGCCUCAAGGGGUCUCCACUGCCACAAUGAAGCACAACACAGGCCUGCUACCACCUAUGCUCACUGACAUGUUUAGCCUAUCCCACAGUCAGAGCAAGGUCCCUGUCCCACUUAAAGACGUCCAUCAUUGUUCCUACUCCCAUGAAUGACAAAAUAUCCAGCCUCAUUGACUAGGGACUCAUCGCCGUGACAUCAGUUGUCAUGAAAACCUGCCCCAGACAAACUUCUUAACAGCUUGAUGGAUUAUUUUGUGAACAACUCAGGUACCUACUUGUGUAAGAAUCCUAUAUGUUAAUUUUAGCUUCGCCUUCACCAUAAUUAGGCCAGAUCUCCUGAAUGUCAAAUUGUCACAGCCAGUGACCUACUAACAAACAGGAACCAGUAUGUGCAGCUGUGAUUCACCAUCAGCACCAGUGUGCCUCAGGGUUGUGUGUCCUCCCCAGUUCUCCUUGUCCGUAAUGGACUGCACCACCGCUGAACCCCCCACAAAGUGACUCAAGUUUGAAGAUGACUCCACACCAGCAGGUUUCAGCACAAAUGGAGAUGAGAUCAUCUACAGAAGGGUGAUGAAUCACUUGAUAUCGUGGUGCUCAAAGAAUCAUUUAGAGCUUAACAUUGUCAAAAUGAUAGAGGGGUGACUCACCCCACCUCCCCAAGACAAGUGAACACAACUGUGACUGUGAGCAAGAUGCUAGGAAUACACAUCACUGGCUCCCUCAAAUGGAGAAAGAAUAUCACUGCUCUUCCUAAGAAAGCUUUGCAGUGGUUAUACUUCCUGAGGCAGCUGAGGAAACUCACGGGUAACAGAACCACCCUGGUUCACAUCUAGAGACCCCCUAUGGAGAGCAUCCUGAUGUCUGCCAUAAGCUUAUGCUGGGGUUAUGGUUAUGGUUAUGUAUCUGGCCCCUGUAAACUACAACACAUUGUAGACCUUCCUGCUGAGAAGAACACUGGCUCCAGGGCUGUCUAACUUCUCAACGAGGCCUGCAAGUUACCACAUCGUCUACAACAUCAGCACCACUAUCAGACUCUGAUAUACAAUAAUAAAACACAUUCUUAAUUGCACCAUGAAUUUUUAGUACUCUCACUCUCACUUUACUGCAACAAAUCUGUUCAUUUAUACCCAUUUUUAUGGGUCUUAUUCCAACCACCCAAAUCCAUCUUGUUAUAUCUGCUUCACUCCUUCUCCUCCCUAUUGUCUCUCUCUCUCUCUCUCUGAUACACACAAACACAUUUAUAUAUAAUUUUUAUAUAUAAAAAAUAUGUUAGUAGUGGGUAUGCAGCACCAAACACACCAGAAAAGAUGCUUUUAUGUAAACUGUAGUUCUACAGCUACUAUAGCAUUUAUUUUGAAUCUUGAUUUGUACACUGUAAUGCCUUUUAGGAAACCAUGCAAACACGCAGCGCGUCCUCACUUGGAUGAUGACAUUACAGAGUAACCUGCAGACUUUCUCUAAUCUCACAUUUGCUGUGACAUGGCUCCCAUCCCACGGUACUGACUGCGCAUCCAGCCUCCAUCCACGUAUUACAGUGACGCCCAACACUGUACUCCACAAAGUCUGCUUAGUCCCAGCCAAUCCGAUUAUGCAAAAUGAUAUCUAGCUGUGAAGAAUGCAAUAAAGUCUGCAGUCUCGUUUUAACUACAAAACUUUGGCACCAUGAAACACACUAUGCAUGAAAAACACACAGAAGACAGCACUUGGUGUUACUUGCUCUGCUUGGAUCUUUGAUUUCAAGCAAAGACAACUAAAGUUGAUGGGGGAACAUUCACCAUAGUUUGACCUUUGACUUUAAUGCCUCCGCAUUCCAUCCUCUUUGAAAAAAGGUCUGGCCGCAUAUUUCCUGGACUCCAAAAGAAUCCCCUCUAGUGGGUUGAGUUUUGUUGUUUCAUUGGCUAAUCAUGUUUGAACAAUCAAUGGGGGAAAGGUAGCACUGAUUCUGAACUAAAACAGCAUGUAAAUGAAUUAAGCAAAUCCAACCCCCUUCACUGUGAUUAUCUUUGUAAUGUAGAGGAACACUG